AGAAUCAACGCUGGCGGCGUGCCUAACACAUGCAAGUCGAACGAGAAAGUGGAGCAAUCCAUGAGUAAAGUGGCGACCGGGUGAGUAACACGUGACUAACCUACCUUCAAGUGGGGGAUAACCUCGGGAAACCGGGGCUAAUACCGCAUAACAUCUUUGGAGUGGAAAUUCUGGAGAUCAAAGGAGCAAUUCGCUGGAAGAGGGGGUCGCGGCUGAUUAGCUAGUUGGCGGGGUAAUGGCCCACCAAGGCUUUGAUCGGUAGCCGGCCUGAGAGGGCGCACGGCCACACUGGAACUGAAACACGGUCCAGACUCCUACGGGAGGCAGCAGUGGGGAAUUUUGCGCAAUGGGGGAAACCCUGACGCAGCAACGCCGCGUGGAGGAUGAAGUCCCUUGGGACGUAAACUCCUUUCGACCGGGAAGAUGAUGGACGGUACCGGUGGAAGAAGCCCCGGCUAACUUCGUGCCAGCAGCCGC
rnacentral:rRNA from 1 species